rnacentral:rRNA from 1 species
UACGUAGGUGACAAGCGUCAUCCGGAAUUACUGGGCGUAAAGCGCACGCAGGCGGCCGAGUAAGUCUGACGUGAAAUCUCCCGGCUUAACCGGGAGCGGUCGUUGGAAACUACUUGGCUUGAGGCGAUGAGAGGGGUGUGGAAUUCCCGGUGUAGUGGUGGAAUGCGUAGAUAUCGGGAGGAACAUCAGUGGCGAAAGCGGCACCCUGGCAUUAGCCUGACGCUCAGGUGCGAAAGCGUGGGGAUCAAACAGG